CGUCCUCAGCCUUACUCCAGGGGCUUUUUUGCCUGUGAAGUGCCCUGGCAUUGCCUGAGGAUAUAAGAGAAAGCACGUGCCUCCCCACAAGGCUCUGAUCUCGUGGGCCACAGGCUGAGCUGACAGU
rnacentral:snoRNA from 17 species